rnacentral:tRNA from 1 species
GCCUGGCUGGCUCAGUCGGUUAGGUGUCCGACUUCAGUUCAGGUCAUGAUCUCACGGUUUGUGGGUUCGAGCCCCGCGUCGGGCU